rnacentral:rRNA from 1 species
CACGUAGGGGGCAAGCGUUGUCCGGAUUAUUGGGCGUAAAGAGCUCGUAGGCGGUCUGUUACGUCGGCCGUGAAAACCUGCAGCUUAACUAGUGGGCUUGCGGUCGAUACGGGCAUCACUGGAGUUCGGCAGGGGAGACUGGAAUUCCUGGUGUAGCGGUGAAAUGCGCAGAUAUCAGGAGGAACACCGGUGGCGAAGGCGGGUCUCUGGGCCGAUACUGACGCUGAGGUGCGAAAGCGUGGGGAGCAAACAGG